rnacentral:rRNA from 1 species
CAGUCGCCGCGGGAAUACGUAGGCGGCAAGCGUUGUCCGGAAUUAUUGGGCGUAAAGGGAGCGCAGGUGGGACGGUAAGUCCGUCUUAAAAGUGCGGGGCUCAACCCCGUGAGGGGAUGGAAACUGUAUGCCUUGAGUGCAGGAGAGGAAAGCGGAAUUCCCAGUGUAGCGGUGAAAUGCGUAGAUAUUGAGAGGAACACCAGUGGCGAAGGCGGCUUUCUGGACUGUAACUGACGCUGAGGCUCGAAAGCCAGGGGAGCGAACGGGAUUAGAUACCCGUGUAGUCCCUGUCUCUUAUACA